AUUUCUAAUUUAUUUGUUAUAAAAAAUUAUUAUUUAAUUACUAAUUAUUGUUAACUCUAUUUGAUUUCAGGGACAUGAUACCAGUGACCCACGCUUAUCUCCUAACCCUCCUUCUACCCCUCCUUCUACUAGGGAAGAUGAUAACAGUGACCCACCCUUAUCUCCUGAAAAGAAAUGUACUGUGUUACCUUUGGUGUGCCUUUUAAUUUGUUUUUUGUUUGGGGUUUUAGUUUACAUUUUCGGGAAGUUUAGGGAUAAAUCUAAUAAGGGUAAUUCUAUAAAGAAGUUUGUGGUAAUUGUGGAUGGCUUCUAUUUCAUAGUAGUUACUCUAAGCACAAUAGGUUACGGGGAUAUUACCCCUAUUUCUGAAGCUGGUAAAGUCUUUACUAUGAUUUUAGCUCUUUCGUGUCCUGUGGUUUCUGCUAUUCUUGAAGGCUACCUGAAAUGCCUUCUUAGAAAAUUAGAUAAGUGCUUAGCUAAAAAAUUAGAAGGAGGCAUCUUAGAUUGUUUGGUAGUCAACCAUAAAAUAGGUUAUUGGACAAAAGUUUUCUUAGCACUUCUUGCUGGCCUGUUUGUCUUUGGCAUCGGAGCAGUCAUAGUCCAUUAUUCAGAGAAAAUGAGUUGGUUAGAUAGUGUUUACUUUUCUGUGAUUUCCAUAACAACAGUAGGUUAUGGGGAUUACUCGUUUAGAACAACAGUAGGAAAGUGUGUUACAUGUAUUUGGUUUUUAUUUAGCUCUAUUAUUUAUAGUUUUGCAAUUUCAUUUCUGAUAAGUUGUAUUCUUAGGCCAAUUACUCCUCAAAACGAAUGAAUUGUAUUUUGUGAAUAGUAAGAUGACCAUGAAUGAACAGUUUUCUUUUC